rnacentral:rRNA from 1 species
UGGGUAGGGGAGCUUCCCAUACGGGUUGAAGCAGGACCGUAAGGACAUGUGGACAGUAUGGGAGUGAGAAUGUUGGCAUGAGUAGCGAGAUGUGGGUGGGAAUCCCACAGGCCGUAAACCCAAGGUUGCCAGGGGAAGGUUCGUCCGCCCUGGGUUAGUCGGGACCUAAGCUGAGGCCGAAAGGCGUAGGUGAUGGACAACAGGUUGAUAUUCCUGUACUACCGAU